GAUGAACGCUGGCGGCGUGCUUAACACAUGCAAGUCGAACGAAGCACUUUAUUUGAUUUUCUUCGGAAAUGAAGAUUCUGUGACUGAGUGGCGGACGGGUGAGUAACGCGUGGAUAACCUGCCUCAUACAGGGGGAUAACAGCCGGAAACGGCUGCUAAUACCGCAUAAGCGCACAGUAUCACAUGAUACAGUGUGAAAAACUCCGGUGGUACAAGAUGGUCCCGCGUCUGAUUAGCUUGUUGGCGGGGUAAUGGCCCACCAAGGCGACGAUCAGUAGCCGACCUGAGAGGGUGACCGGCCACAUUGGGACUGAGAUACGGCCCAAACUCCUACGGGAGGCAGCAGUGGGGAAUAUUGCACAAUGGAGGAAACUCUGAUGCAGCAACGCCGCGUGAGUGAUGACGGUCUUCGGAUUGUAAAGCUCUGUCUUUAGGGACGAUAAUGACGGUACCUAAGGAGGAAGCCACGGCUAACUACGUGCCAG
rnacentral:rRNA from 1 species